rnacentral:lncRNA from 1 species
AUGCCCAACCGAAGAAAUGCCACACUCAAAAUUGCAGGAGUUUUCAUGGUAUUUUCUCACUCUUGUCUCACCCUCUCCUUUAUGCAGCAUGGUACACCAGGAGGAAUCCAUCCAAUUCUUAGUUUCUCCCUUGAGAGGUUCUGUCUUCUCAUGAAGGUGGUAGCCAGAGGGGACUUGAGAAGUGGAGAAAAGAUAUAUCUUUGGACAUGCCAUUUUUUUCUGACUUCACCCAAUGAUUGUGGAACAUCAUCAAGUAAGGGAAUGGGAAGUCCCAGUCUCUUCUUUGUUUUAGUUUUAGAGUGUCUUCACACCCUCAAUGUUAUUGCUAUGAGCUCUAGGUCACUCAGCUUCCAUGUAGCAACAGAGUCUGUCUCUAACCAUUUGAUACUAUCAAUAUGUCAGAAAACACCUUUUUAUUACAGUAUGACUCUUACAUAUUUAAAUUAA